UCAUACGCCUGCUCUUUUUUAAAAUAGCCAAUCAGAAUUAGCUUAGACUGUGCAGUCCAACCCUAGCCAAUAGGGGAAUGAUACAGCAGUAGAGGUUACCUGCAUCAGGAAUAAGAACCUCGUCCCCUCCUCAGUACGGGUGUGCUCUCGCCAUUGUUCCACCUGCAAGGAGCACUCUUUCUGCAGAAGAUAAAAAUUGUCUUGCUGAGAAAAUUAAAUUUAUAUUCAAGCGCUAUUUCUUUGCAGGACCAGGGAACAAGUAUUUUGCAUUUCUAACAAUUUGGUGGCCCGUACGGGGACCUAUUCUCCUCUGGGGGUGGUCUCCAGUCUUCUCUCAUAAGGAGGCGCCCUGCUGCCUCAUUGUGGUGACCUCAGGGGUGAGGAACUGAAACCCUGCUGUGUUGAAUAAACCCGAACUCUCAGCAAGGCGGAAAGAAACGGGCUGGUGACCUGGAGUAAAGGAUCCUCACGUACCUCGUGGACCAGACAACUUCCUGCACAAGCCAAGGAAGGAAACACUGGAGGAAAUGGUUGGAACUGCUCCUGGACACAGUUUCUCACUUUCAAAUCCAAUCCUCAAGUAACUCUAACACUCAGCCAAAAUAGCUUCCCGACCCUCUUCCCCUUUGUCCUUUCUGUCCUCAUCAUUUUGAGAACCAGCAUGGCCUCCUGGAACUCUAUUUUGUUUAAUUACUCACCUACGUUAUGCAUAAAAGAAGGAAGAUCUAAUAAACUGACUCAGCAAAUAAUAA